UACAGAGGCCUCAAGCGUUGUUCGGAUUCAUUGGGCGUAAAGGGCGCGUAGGCGGCGGGGUCAGUCGGGUGUGAAAUCUUGGGGCUUAACCCCGAAACGGCACUCGAAACUGCCCGGCUGGAGGGCCGGAGAGGAGAUCGGAAUUCACGGUGUAGCAGUGAAAUGCGUAGAGAUCGUGAGGAAGACCCGUGGCGAAGGCGGAUCUCUGGACGGCUAAAACUGACGCUGAGGCGCGAAGGCCAGGGGAGCAAACGGG
rnacentral:rRNA from 1 species